rnacentral:rRNA from 1 species
CGUAUAUUAAAGUUGUUGCAGUUAAAAAGCUCGUAGUUGGAUUUGUGGAUGAUCUUGAGGUCCACGUUUUGCGUUGGUACUAUUGAGAUUGUCCAUCCUUGGGUGGAAUCUGUGUGGCAUUAGGUUGUCGUGCAGGGGAUGCCCAUCGUUUACUGUGAAAAAAUUAGAGUGUUCAAAGCAGGCUUAUGCCGCUGAAUAUAUUAGCAUGGAAUAAUGAGAUAGGACUUGGGUGCUAUUUUGUUGGUUUGCGCACCUUGGUAAUGAUUAAUAGGGACAGUUGGGGG